rnacentral:misc_RNA from 1 species
GAUGAAGAACGCAGCGAAAUGCGAUACGUAAUGUGAAUUGCAGAAUUCAGUGAAUCAUCGAAUCUUUGAACGCAUAUUGCGCUCUCUGGUAUUCCGGAGAGCAUGCUUGUUUGAGUAUCAGUAAACACCUCCACUUCCAUAUCUUUUUUUGAAAUGGGAGUUGGACUUGAGUGAUCCCAACGCUUUUCCUCACCGAAAAGUGGCGGGUUACUUGAAAUGCAGGUGCAGCUGGACUUUUCUCUGAGCUAUAAGCAUAUCUAUUUAGUCUGCCUAAAAAACAGAUUAUUACCUUUGCUGCAGCUAACAUAAAGGAGAUUAGUUCUUGUGCUGACUGAUGCAGGAUUCACAAAGACAGCUUCGGCCGACUUUGUAAACUCGAUCUCAAAGCAAGUAAGACUACCCGCUGAACUUAAGCAUAUCAAUAAGCGGAGGA